GGGAAUGUAGCUCAGUGGUAAAGUGCUUGUCUAGCAUACAAGUAGGCCUUGGGUUCAAUUCCCAGUGCCCCCC
rfam:Ictidomys tridecemlineatus contig095889, whole genome shotgun sequence.